UGGGGGGCAAACAAUGGGUAUCAGAAACCUGUUUUCCUGCUGGAACUCUUUCCAAGCCUAGCAUGAAGGACCUUGAGUACAUAGAAGAGCUGAAGCAAAUCAUUGAGAAGGAAGAGAUACCUGCUCCUGCUCCUAUAGAGCAGCAACCAGAGCCGGAUGAAUCCUGCUUCAAACACAGUAGAAGAUGACGUAUUCUCAUGGAGAAAGGAAAUAACAGAAGAAUUCUUCCACUACAGGCAUCUUACGCAGGCACAGUUGUGGGAUAAGUAUUCUGCGUCUGAACAUUGGGCUAAGAUUGAGAAGUAAUUCCACACAGUGUGCAGGUUCCAAAGAACAAGGAAGAACUUGAAGCUCUGCAAGCUAGGCUCAAAAUGCGUUUUCCAGUGGCAGCAUAUAACAAAGCACGGAGGGAAUUGAAUCACAACAGGAUCCUUUUUAAUAACAUGCUUGAAAAGAUGUUCCCAUUAUCGGACAAUGUUUGAAAAGUACACGCUACUGGUUAGUUCUUUAUUCAUUUUAAAUCUUAAGAAUUAAAAUGCAGUUGGUCUGUUCUUUUGGCCAAUUUAGUGGAAACAUCUUUAGCACUAAGCUUGUACACCCAAAUGGAAGGACAUGAGGACAUUUCUGUGUUUUAGAAUUUUUAUACAUAUAAUAAGUGGUUCCGAUUAUCAGUAUUUAUUGACGCUACCGAACUUGCUAUCAAAGUUCAGCUGUAUCUAUGGACAGUAGGAAGAAAAAGUAGUUUUGAUGAUUUAUAGGGGGUCUGAUGAUUUAUGGACUGACUCGGUUGGGUAUUGGAUGGAUCAUAUCUAUGAUUUUCAUUUUUAUCAAUCCCAUUUGUUUCGAGUGUUAUGGUUUUGCUAAUUCUGCUCUCCCAACCGUAUUUGCAAUGUCUUUGGUGAUACACCUUGUGUUCUUUGCUCGGGAGUACUUAAUCCCAGUUUAGGAACUUUAUAGUUAGCUAGAGCAUGAUUGGAUGUUAUCCUCAAACCUUGGCCAUAAUAAACUGUUCCCAGCGCUUGAUUUCUAAGAGAAAAUGUCAUCUCACCUAUUGGCACCAUCAUAGAGGAGGCAAGAUGAAGGUUAACCAGUUUCCAAUCUUACAGGGAAACUUGCA